rnacentral:rRNA from 11 species
GGGAGACACACGGCGGGUGCUAACGUCCGUCGUGAAAAGGGAAACAACCCAGACCGUCAGCUAAGGUCCCAAAGUUAUGGUUAAGUGGGAAACGAUGUGGGAAGGCUUAGACAGCUAGGAGGUUGGCUUAGAAGCAGCCAUCCUUGAAAGAGUGCGUAAUAGCUCACUGGUCAAGUGAUUCCGCGCCGAUAAUGUAGCGGGGCUUAAGCACACCGCCGAAACCGCGGCAACACUAUUUUUUGGUGUUGGGUAGGGGAGCGUCGUGCAUGUGUUGAAGCUAUCUGGUGAUAGGUGGUGGAGUGUGUGCGAGUGAGAAUGCAGGCAUGAGUAACGAGUGAUGUGUGGGAAACAUAUCCGCCGGAUGACUAAGGGUUCCUGGGUGAAGUUUAUCUUCCCAGGGUGAGUCGGGGCCUAAGGCGAGGCCGACAGGCGUAGUCGAUGGAGAACGGGUUGAUAUUCCCGUACCCGUGUGCGUGC